GAUACUCUUAAGUUAAUUUACCUCACAGUCCAGAUAUGAUGAAAUCCUAUAGCAAACAAAAGACAAAUAUCAUGCAAAUCAUUGAAGCUAGAUUAGCCUAUAGAGCUAGAACAUCAUGUUCCCUGCAAAAGACACAGAAGGGACCAAGAUCCCACCACGCGGAGGUAUGAAAGAGAUUCCCGUCUAACUUGGUUAAGAAGCUGACUCAGGCUGUGAUGCUUCUUGCUUUGGUUUUCUACGUUCAGCCGGUGGCCCAUCUCGUCGCCUUUCAUAUCUUCGACUUUCAUAUUUUGGUCCUCUGCGUUGCUUCGGUUGAUAAGUUGGGUAAGUACUGGGAAUUAUCUCACCGUUAAUAUAUUUAUCACCACCAUAGUCUUUGUUCUUCACGUCUAUAUAAGAAUCUGGCAAUAC
rnacentral:misc_RNA from 1 species